rnacentral:lncRNA from 1 species
GAAUACAGAUGUGUAAAAAAAAUCCUUUUAGCACUUUUAAAAGAUUAUACAUUGUUUGCUGGUGACAUGCAAAAAGGAGGCAGAUAGAAAUGUAUAUAGAUUAAAAUUUAGGACUAGGUUUAAAUGUGGUGUACUUUUUGUUUACUUCAUAUUCAGUUUAACCCAUGAAACAUUUUCAAAUGGGUGUCUGUUCAGUAUCCUCUGGCUUUGAAAAACUGACUACAUCCCCCUGUGCUUGCAAGUGCCUGCUGCCAGAGGCCCUCCCCUUCCUUUCCUGCUUGUCCUGUGUCUGCUCUGAUGUUUGCGGUGGCAGCUUUCUAGGCCUCUUGGGCCUUCCUUUUUGUCCUCUGUAGCAGGCAAUACUCUUAGCAAAAUGAGUUACUCUGUGGUGUAAAUUGGCUUUGGUGGCUUAGCCUAAGACUAGUGACAGUUUUAUAUUUGGUCUGUGGUUAAAAGGGUUCUCAGCUUCAAAUAUCUUAACUCUGAUUUGGUACCUUUCAUAAAAACAUGAUAGUAUAGUGAAACUUUUCUGGCAGUACUUUAAAGCAGCUAACCUGACUGAACUUGCUAAGGGUGUUCCUGUUGCCCCUCUUUGCAGCUAAUGAGCCCUCUUGGCUCUCCUUUCCAAGAGCGGUAAUACUUGUGUUAUUCAAGAACAGCCAUUAGGUGUCCUGAAAUUUCAGAACCGAAAAAUCUUAAAAAAAAUUAUUUUUUAAGUAGCCUGUACAAUAGAAACUUCAAUUAUGGAGAGACAAAGAGUAUACCUGUUACUGAUGUAGUUACUUUGUUGAGAAUGAAAACUGUUUCUGGCUGGUAAUUACUGAAUGCUUUAAACAAAAAAAGGCAAAGGAAUGGUAGGAAAUAGGCAAGACAAGAAACAAAGAAUCAAAAGAAAAAGCAAAGAGGAAAACAGAAUGAGCAUGGACAUUUGGCAAACAACCAAGAAGAGAGCCUGAAGCAAGUUAGAAAGCUGAGAAAUUAUUAUUCUUUCCCAGUGGCCAAGAUACAAAGUAUAAAAAAUAUGUCCCCCUUAAAAGCAAAAAAAGGAAUGUAGAUUAAUGCAACAAGGGCCCUGCUAGAUGAUGGGAUCACUUUUAAUUAAGAGGGUGUGCUGGCAUUUUUUAGCUACUAUGUCUGAUUGGGUCUGCUGGUAUAGACGAGCAUCUAGGUUAUUUUGAAGUAGGUCUUCCUAAGUAAAAGUUUUCCUAUUAACCCAUUAUCAACUAAAAAAGAUUGAUUAGUGUUAGAUUUAUCAGUGUAUGUUACUGACAGAAUCAUGUGGUUUCCUUUAAGUAGCUUUAAUUUUUGGUUUUUAGUUUGUUUAGAGAGGAGGUUUCACUAUGUUGCCCAAACUGACCCAAACUUGUGGGCUCAAGCAGUCCUCCUGCCUCAGCCCCCAGAGUAGCUGGGAUUAUAGGCAAAUGCCUGCUUGGCUAGUUUUUGUUUUUAAACAGCAGGUUUCUAAUUAUAAAAACAAAUUUGCCAUUUUAUAAUUUUUAAAGUAAUCUGCCAUUCAAGGUACUUACUGAAAAAAACAAUAGGAGAAAUAAGACAGUCUCCUGUCAUAGAGCUUUUAUCAUCUUACGACAAAUACAGAAAAGCAACAGGUAUUGAAAAUGCAGUGAAGAAUAUGCUGUAUGCUGGGUAGGAGAACUGCCCCACGUGAAACUUUAGGUGACAAAUCCCCAUCGCAUCUAUUCAGGAGGCACUGCUGGGAAAAGGGUCCCAGACAGAAUGUGCACAGGCUUGGAGGGGAGAGGGUAGCAGCCUGGCCGAAGUAUAGAGCAGGAAAAGGAUGGCGGAGAUGAGAGGCAAGGAGAAGCCGAUACCCAAAACCCUGGGAGGCCACAGGUUAAAGAUUUUGGACUUUAUUCUGAUAUUGGUAGAUUCUACUGAAGGCUUGUAUGCAGGGACAUGAUGGGAUCAAGUCAAAUCUGCUUGCCUGAGAAUGGUUGAAAAGGGAGGCAGGGAAGCCAGUCACGUGAGAGAAAAUGUUGGUCUUAACAAAGGUAGUGGCAGAGCAGGUGGAAGAAAGUGGAUGAAAUCAAAUGUUUUCAGAGGUACAGCUAAUGGGACAUGGUGAAUGAGAGUUUCUGCCAAAAUCAAGGAUGAUUUUUCAGAAAUUUUUUUGGCUUUGGCAACUAGACGAUGGUGGUGCCACUUGUGUAGAUAUCUAGGCAAGGUAGGAGACCAGGUUUGGGAUAAAGAUUGCUUUAGACAUUGAGAUAUCUUUGGGACAUCCUGGUGAAGAUGGCAGGUAGUUUGGUCUCAAACUGGGAGGUGCCAUCUGGGGUGGAGAUGAACUGAGGACUCAGUAACUAUAGUCACUGUAAUUUUCUGGGGGUUGCCAUUGCUCAGGGAGCUCCUAGAGUAAGGGACUGAGAUAGGUCCCAAGGAAUAGACUUGGGAGGGCCAGGGAAUGGGGAGGCCACUGAGGUGGUGGGACAGGCUGCAGGGAAGAAUACCUCAAAAUCAUACGAGGCCACUCUUUGACAAGUGUGCCUGUUUCACCGUUUUGUUUGCACAAGACUCUAAGACAGUAUACUGCCUUAAAUAAAGUGCACCCUGUUUGGAAAAGUUCAGGAGAGGUGGGUGUUUUCCUUGUUCCUCUUUGGCUAUGCUCUGGGCACUGGAAAAAGCCUGCAAAGGAGACUUAUCAGGAAAAUAAGCAGAAUGAGGGCCAUAUGCCGCUCAGAGGCCAUUAAGAGAAGGACUGAAAAGAGCCCAUUGAACUUGGCAAGUAAAGAUUGCUGGCGACUGGGGCGAGCUCUUUCUUGAAGGGGUGGGGCAGAAGCUGGAAAGUCAGUUGAGGUGUAGACCAUGCAGUGAGGAAAGAGCGACUCAACUGGGCUUGAAGAACUGACUUCCCCAUAUUCAUACUUGCCCCACUCUAUUUGUGGAGUGGCUGGUAUGAUCUUAAAAGAUCAUAAAAUGCAAGCAUGGUCACUUGACAACUCUACUUAAAAUCCACUGUUCUCUAAUGAAUGACCUAGUCUUUACCCAGAAUGCCAGUUUGACCCCUUCUGCCUCUCCUACUUCGUUUCUGCCCUCUCCAUUUGGCCCCUCAGGCUGCAGCCACAUUGGCCCCCUGAGACCACCAAGCCUUUAGUAUCAAAUUUUGGAGACUCACAUGAAGUUAUUAUGCAACAGCUCUCUGAGUCUUUACACUGAUCACGAAAUCAGGAGAUUGAGACCAUCCUGGCUAACAAAGUGAAACCCCAUUUCUACUAAAAAUACAAAAAAUUAGCCGGGCAUGGUGACAUGCAUCUGUAGUCCCAGCUACUUGGGAGGCUAGGACUACAGAUGCGUGUCACCAGAGGUGACUGUUCUAUUUUGUUGGAACAGCCCACAGCCCUCUCCAUUGUUGGCUGAAUCUGUCGUGAUCCCUAGGGCAGCCUGGAGAAAGCAUGCAGAGUGCACACGUGGUGAGCACAAAGCUUUCGGGGUACUGUGGGUUGAAGACGUCCUGACAGCCCAUCUCAUUCCACAGAAGGUUUAAGGCAAACUGCCAUCCUUAGUCCACAGUUUGAGGGUGGAUUCUUUAAGGAUCUAAUAGAGGAUGAAGGGGAAAAGCAAAAAAACAGAGCUGUGACAAGUUUUAUAAGUUGAACAGAACAUUUUAUUUCUCAGCAAUUCUAUGCGUACAAAUUAAACAUGAGAUGAAUAGAGACUUUAUUGAGAAAGCAAGAGAAAAUUCCUAUCAACCCCAAGGAGGACUCAAAGUGAGGCUGGAAGAGGACUUAGAAGAGUAUGAAAGUACUCUAAGAUUUUAUCUAAGUUGCCUUUUCUGGGUGGGAAAGUUUAACCUUAGUGACUAAGGACAUCACAUAUGAAGAAUGUUUAAGUUGGAGGUGGCAACGUGAAUUGCAAACAGGGCCUGCUUCAGUGACUGUGUGCCUGUAGUCCCAGCUACUCGGGAGUCUGUGUGAGGCCAGGGGUGCCAGCGCACCAGCUAGAUGCUCUGUAACUUCUAGGCCCCAUUUUCCCCUCUGAAAAUAAGAGGGUUGGAUCAAACGAUCUCUGGGGCCUUAGCAUCUCAAAUCCUGUGGAUCCUCCUACUUACCCCUUAGAGAGCCUUACUGGGAAGUCAGUCAUUAAUGAUGUGGCCAGUUAUUUGCAAGUGGUAAGAGCCUAUUUACCAUAAAUAAUACUAAGAACCAACUCAAGUCAAAC